rnacentral:tRNA from 1 species
UCCCUAGUGUCCAGUGGUUAGGAACUUGGAGCUUCCACUGCUGGGGGCCCAAGUUCAAUUCUUGGCUGGGGAA